rnacentral:tRNA from 1 species
AACCUACUAGCUCAAUUGGUAGAGCAAUAUGCAAAUUCUUAAAGAUGUGGGUUCUAAUCCUACGUUGGUUG